rnacentral:rRNA from 1 species
GAUGAACGCUAGCUACAGGCUUAACACAUGCAAGUCGAGGGGAAACGAUAUUGGAAGCUUGCUUCUGAUAGGCGUCGACCGGCGCACGGGUGAGUAACGCGUAUCCAACCUGCCCAUCACUUGGGGAUAACCUUGCGAAAGUAAGACUAAUACCCAAUGACGUCUCUAGAAGACAUCUGAAAGAGAUUAAAGAUUUAUCGGUGAUGGAUGGGGAUGCGUCUGAUUAGCUUGUUGGCGGGGUAACGGCCCACCAAGGCGACGAUCAGUAGGGGUUCUGAGAGGAAGGUCCCCCACAUUGGAACUGAGACACGGUCCAAACUCCUACGGGAGGCAGCAGUGAGGAAUAUUGGUCAAAUGGACGAGAGUCUGAACCAGCCAAGUAGCGUGCAGGAUGACGGCCCUAUGGGUUGUAAACUGCUUUUAUAAGGGAAUAAAGUGAGUCUCGUGAGACUUUUUGCAUGUACCUUAUGAAUAAGGA